AGAGUUUUAGUUUAAUUAAAAUGUCUGUUCUGCAAGCAGAAGAUGUGGAUNAGCUGCAAGCUCUC
rnacentral:tRNA from 1 species